UGACCACUCCUACGAUAAAGGUAGGACGUUAAGGCCACACGGACAGCCGGGUCAAAUGCCGA
rnacentral:sRNA from 1 species